rnacentral:rRNA from 1 species
GUAGGGAAUAUUGCGCAAUGGACGAAAGUCUGACGCAGCGACGCCGCGUGAGUGAUGAAGGCCUUAGGGUCGUAAAGCUCUGUUGAAUGGGAAGAAAAAAAUGACGGUACCAUUCGAGGAAGAACCGGCUAACUUCGUGCCAGCAGCCGCGGUAAUACGAGGGGUCCUAGCGUUGUUCGGAAUCAUUGGGCGUAAAGGGUGUGUAGGUGGCCAUGUAAGUCAGGUGUGAAAGCCCCGGGCUCAACCCGGGAAGUGCACUUGAUACUGCGUGGCUUGAGUACCGAAGAGGGUAGUGGAAUUCCAGGUGUAGUGGUGAAAUACGUAGAUAUCUGGAGGAACACCGGUGGCGAAGGCGGCUACCUGGUCGAGUACUGACACUGAGACACGAAAGCAUGGGGAUCAAACAGGAUUAGAUACCCGUGUAGUCC